AUUGAACGCUGGCGGCAGGCUUAACACAUGCAAGUCGAGCGGAGAGAGGUAGCUUGCUACUGAUCUUAGCGGCGGACGGGUGAGUAAUGCUUAGGAAUCUGCCUAUUAGUGGGGGACAACAUUUCGAAAGGAAUGCUAAUACCGCAUACGUCCUACGGGAGAAAGCAGGGGAUCUUCGGACCUUGCGCUAAUAGAUGAGCCUAAGUCGGAUUAGCUAGUUGGUGGGGUAAAGGCCUACCAAGGCGACGAUCUGUAGCGGGUCUGAGAGGAUGAUCCGCCACACUGGGACUGGGACACGGCCCAGACUCCUACGGGAGGCAGCAGUGGGGAAUAUUGGACAAUGGGCGGAAGCCUGAUCCAGCCAUGCCGCGUGUGUGAAGAAGGCCUUAUGGUUGUAAAGCACUUUAAGCGGGGAGGAGGCUACUUUAGUUAAUACCUAGAGAUAGUGGACGUUACUCGCAGAAUAAGCACCGGCUAACUCUGUGCCAGCCGCCGCCGUAACAC
rnacentral:rRNA from 1 species